UCCGUAGGGGUACCUGCGGAUGGAUCAUUUCGAUGAAAACCUUUUUUCUUGAGGUGUGGCUCGCACCUGUCCAACUAAACUUGAGCUACCUUUUUUCAACACGGUUGCAUCGGUUGGCCUGUCAAACAGUGCGGCGGCGGAAAUAUUUUUUCUUUUUUCGCUUUGCCAAAUUGGGCGACGGACCGACACUUAAUCAACACUUUUGAUGAUCUAGGAUUUGAAUGAUAAAAGUUCAUUUUUACAAAUGAAAUCGACUGGUAAUGCGGUCGUCUAAUUUUAAAAACAACUUUUGGCAACGGAUCUCUUGGUUCUCCCAUCGAUGAAGAACGCAGCGAAUUGCGAUAAGUAAUGUGAAUUGCAGAAGUGAAUCAUCGAAUCUUUGAACGCACCUUGCGCUCCCUGCAGAUCUAAUCUGGGGAGCAUGCCUGUUUGAGGGCCGCGAAUUGUUUCGAACGACAGCUUUUUUCACGAAAAGUUGGCGGAUCGGUAUUGAGGGUUUUGCCAUUCACCGUGGCUCCCUCGAAAUGCAUUAGCGCAUCCAUUUGAUAGGCAAGACGGACGAAAGCUCAUCUUUCGCUCUCUCUUCCCUGCCGGGUUUUGAUAAUAUCAGGACUUCGGAGAGGUUGAGAUGGGUAAGAGCUGGACGCAACGGCUUGCUGUUUGGAGUGCUUCUGAAACCCGCCCAUGUCGAGCUUGCUCGGAAGGGAUUUUAAUAAUUCAUCGGCCUCAGAUUGGUAGGACUACCCGCUGAACUUAAGCAUAUCAAUAAGGCGGAGGAA
rnacentral:rRNA from 1 species